GUGCUUGCUUUGGCAUCACAUAGAUUAAAAUCGGAAUGAUACAGAGAAAAGUUGCAUGGCUCCUGCACAAGGAUGACACACAAACUGAUGAAGCAUUCCAUAUUUUU